AUUGAACGCUGGCGGCAGGCCUAACACAUGCAAGUCGAACGGUAACAGAAAGCAGCUUGCUGCUUUGCUGACGAGUGGCGGACGGGUGAGUAAUGUCUGGGAAACUGCCUGAUGGAGGGGGAUAACUACUGGAAACGGUAGCUAAUACCGCAUAACGUCGCAAGACCAAAGAGGGGGACCUUCGGGCCUCUUGCCAUCGGAUGUGCCCAGAUGGGAUUAGCUAGUAGGUGGGGUAAAGGCUCACCUAGGCGACGAUCCCUAGCUGGUCUGAGAGGAUGACCAGCCACACUGGAACUGAGACACGGUCCAGACUCCUACGGGAGGCAGCAGUGGGGAAUAUUGCACAAUGGGCGCAAGCCUGAUGCAGCCAUGCCGCGUGUAUGAAGAAGGCCUUCGGGUUGUAAAGUACUUUCAGCGGGGAGGAAGGGAGUAAAGUCAAUACCUUUGCUCAUUGACGUUACCCGCAGAAGAAGCACCGGCUAACUCCGUG
rnacentral:rRNA from 1 species